AUGGACGCAAGUCUGAUGGAGCAACGCCGCGUGAGUGAAGAAGGUUUUCGGAUCGUAAAGCUCUGUUGUUGGUGAAGAAGGAUAGAGGUAGUAACUGGCCUUUAUUUGACGGUAAUCAACCAGAAAGUCACGGCUAACUACGUGCCAGCAGCCGCGGUAAUACGUAGGUGGCAAGCGUUGUCCGGAUUUAUUGGGCGUAAAGCGAGCGCAGGCGGAAAAAUAAGUCUAAUGUGAAAGCCCUCGGCUUAACCGAGGAAUUGCAUCGGAAACUGUUUUUCUUGAGUGCAGAAGAGGAGAGUGGAACUCCAUGUGUAGCGGUGGAAUGCGUAGAUAUAUGGAAGAACACCAGUGGCGAAGGCGGCUCUCUGGUCUGCAACUGACGCUGAGGCUCGAAAGCAUGGGUAGCGAACAGGAUUAGAUACCCUGGUAGUCCAUGCCGUAAACGAUGAGUGCUAAGUGUUGGGAGGUUUCCGCCUCUCAGUGCUGCAGCUAACGCAUUAAGCACUCCGCCUGGGGAGUACGACCGCAAGGUUGAAACUCAAAGGAAUUGACGGGGGCCCGCACAAGCGGUGGAGCAUGUGGUUUAAUUCGAAGCAACGCGAAGAACCUUACCAGGUCUUGACAUCUAGCGCCAAUCGUA
rnacentral:rRNA from 1 species